GGGAUUGCCUCAGUAACGGCGAGUGAAGCGGCAAGAGCUCAAAUUUGAAAGCUGGCCCCCUCGGGGUCCGCAUUGUAAUUUGCAGAGGAUGCUUCGGGAGCGGCCCCCAUCUAAGUGCCCUGGAACGGGCCGUCAUAGAGGGUGAGAAUCCCGUCUGGGAUGGGGUGUCCGCGCCCGUGUGAAGCUCCUUCGACGAGUCGAGUUGUUUGGGAAUGCAGCUCUAAAUGGGUGGUAAAUUUCAUCUAAAGCUAAAUACUGGCCGGAGACCGAUAGCGCACAAGUAGAGUGAUCGAAAGAUGAAAAGCACUUUGAAAAGAGAGUUAAACAGCACGUGAAAUUGUUGAAAGGGAAGCGCUUGCGACCAGACUCGCUCGCGGGGUUCAGCCGGCAUUCGUGCCGGUGUACUUCCCCGCGGGCGGGCCAGCGUCGGUUUGGGCGGCCGGUCAAAGGCCCUCGGAAUGUAACGCCCCCCGGGGCGUCUUAUAGCCGAGGGUGCCAUGCGGCCAGCCCGGACCGAGGAACGCGCUUCGGCUCGGACGCUGGCAUAAUGGUCG
rnacentral:rRNA from 1 species